ACAGCCUACUUGCUGCUGCCCCUCUCACGGUGUGACAUGGUGUUCAGGGCUUGUCUUGUCUUUCAUUCAAACCCCCUCCUUCCAGCCGGUGUGGGUGGAACUACAGUGAGCCUCUCCCUCGAGAAGCAGACGCAGUCCAGAAGGCUGCAGUAUUUCCUCCAAGAAGAAACAGCCUGCUUUUUUCAGCCCUGCUGCAAGCAAAGUCCCGAUUCCCUCUGCUGGCUAUCUCGGAAAGCAAAGCAAUUUUACAGCAGCGCUUGCUGGUGUAACUGAACCCGAGGAACUUCAAAUACCGGCAGUGGAUUCUGCACUUCACAAAGCCACAGAACAAACCAGCCAAACGAUGUGUAAACAGACUCAGGGAGGCUGAGGGCUUGAUCCUGUAACACAAAGUAGAUCCAAAAAGAUUUCUGAAACUGUGAUAGCCAUACAUCUAUAGGGAAUCUGACUCUGGAAAGCCAGAUGCUCAUUAUCAACUCAAUAAUGGAGCUAGUCAUGGGAAGCUGGUAAGCAAGCCAAGUUCCAGUGCACCUGAAAAGGAAUUACCAUACACAUCACCCAACAUAGGGGGAUUUCAAAAGACAUACAGAGGAACAAGAAUAUCUCCAAGAGAAAAUUUAGAAAUAAAAUAAAAUACAUUGGAACAAACCAACUGUAAAUCUGACAGCUACAUAAAUUCUGAGACAGAUGCCAGAAGAGGCACCACCUUACUGAUAUUAACUCAACCAAAAACAUGUCUGAAAAGCUCA